UUCCGGUUGAUCCCGCCGGAGGUCAUUGCUAUCGGGGUCCGAUUUAGCCAUGCUAGUCGUGCGAGUUUAGACUCGCGGCGUAUAGCUCAGUAACACGUGGCCAAACUACCCUACAGACAGGAACAACCUCGGGAAACUGAGGCUAACACCUGAUACGCGUUGGCUGUUUGAAGACGCCGACGCUCAAACGCUCCGGCGCUGACGGGACCUUCCGGUCCCGUCGCGCAUCGAGGCGCUUUGCGUCUCGAUAGCGCUGUAGGAUGUGGCUGCGGCCGAUUAGGUAGAUGGUGGGGUAACGGCCCACCAUGCCGAUAAUCGGUACGGGUUGUGAGAGCAAGAGCCCGGAGACGGAAUCUGAGACAAGAUUCCGGGCCCUACGGGGCGCAGCAGGCGCGAAACCUUUACACUGCACGCCAGUGCGAUAAGGGGACCCCGAGUGAAAGGGCAUAUCGCCCUUUCUUUUCUGAACCGUAGGGAGGUUCAGGAACAAGAGCUGGGCAAGACCGGUGCCAGCCGCCGCGGUAAUACCGGCAGCUCAAGUGAUGACCGAUUUUAUUGGGCCUAAAGCGUCCGUAGCUGGCCGCGCAAGUCUGUCGGGAAAUCCACCCGCUCAACGGGUGGGCGUCCGGCGGAAACUGUGCGGCUUGGGACAGGAAGGCUCGAGGGGUACGUUCGGGGUAGGAGUGAAAUCCCGUAAUCCUGAACGGACCACCGAUGGCGAAAGCACCUCGAGAGGACUGAUCCGACAGUGAGGGACGAAAGCUGGGGUCUCGAACCGGAUUAGAUACCCGGGUAGUCCCAGCCGUAAACGAUGUUCGCUAGGUGUGACACUCACUACGAGUGAGUGUUGUGCCGCAGGGAAGCCGCUAAGCGAACCGCCUGGGAAGUACGUCCGCAAGGAUGAAACUUAAAGGAAUUGGCGGGGGAGCACUACAACCGGAGGAGCCUGCGGUUUAAUUGGAUUCAACGCCGGG
rnacentral:rRNA from 1 species